rnacentral:tRNA from 1 species
GGGCUUUUGGCACAGUUGGUAGCGCGCAUGCUUCGCACUAUGAUUGCAUGAGGUCGUGGGUUCGACUCCCACAGAGUCCA